rnacentral:tRNA from 1 species
GAGGGCAUAGCUCAAGUGGUAGAGCACAUGUUUAGCAUGCACAAGGUCCUGGGUUCAAUCCUCAGUAGCUUCU